rnacentral:tRNA from 1 species
GAGGCUGUAGCUCAGCUGGCCAGAGCACCGGGCCGUCAACCCGGGGGGCGCCGGUUCAAGUCCGGUCAGUCUCG